rnacentral:rRNA from 1 species
UACGUAGGGCGCAAGCGUUGUCCGGAAUUAUUGGGCGUAAAGGGCUCGUAGGCGGUCUGUCACGUCGGGAGUGAAAACUCAGGGCUUAACCCUGAGCCUGCUUCCGAUACGGGCAGACUAGAGGUAUGCAGGGGAGAACGGAAUUCCUGGUGUAGCGGUGAAAUGCGCAGAUAUCAGGAGGAACACCGGUGGCGAAGGCGGUUCUCUGGGCAUUACCUGACGCUGAGGAGCGAAAGUGUGGGGAGCGAACAGG